rnacentral:rRNA from 1 species
AAACCGACACAGGUGGGUGAGGAGAGUAUCCUAAGGCCCGCGAGAGAACUGUUGUUAAGGAACUCGGCAAAAUGACCCCGUAACUUAGGGAUAAGGGGUGCCACCAUCCGGUGGCCGCAGAGAAUAGGCCCAAGCGACUGUUUACCAAAGACAUAGGUUUCUGCUAAGUCGCAAGACGAUGUAUAGGAGCUGACGCCUGCCCGGUGCUGGAAGGUUAAGGGGAUCUGUUAGAG